AACGAACGCUGGCGGCAUGCCUAACACAUGCAAGUCGAACGAGAUCUUCGGGUCUAGUGGCGCACGGGUGCGUAACGCGUGGGAAUCUGCCCUUUGGUUCGGAAUAACAGUUGGAAACGACUGCUAAUACCGGAUGAUGACGAAAGUCCAAAGAUUUAUCGCCAGAGGAUGAGCCCGCGUAGGAUUAGCGAGUUGGUGUGGUAAAGGCGCACCAAGGCGACGAUCCUUAGCUGGUCUGCGAGGUUGAUCAGCCCCACUGGGACUGAGACACGGCCCAUACUCCUACGGGGGGCAGCAUUGGGGAAUAUUUGACAAUGGGCGAAAGCCUGCUCCAGCAAUGCCGCGUGAGUGAUGAAGGCCUUAGGGUUGUAAAGCUCUUUUACCCGGGAUGAUAAUGACAGUACCGGGAGAAUAAGCUCCGGCUAACUCCGUGCCAGCAGCCGCCGCAG
rnacentral:rRNA from 1 species